ensembl:misc_RNA Metazoa_SRP Metazoan signal recognition particle RNA
GCCAGACCUGGUGUUGCGUGUCUAUAGUCCUAGCUACUUGGGAGGCUGAGGCAGGAGGAUCGCUCAAGCCCAGGAGUUCUGGAUUACAGUGAGCUAUGAUUGCGCUACUCUACUCCAGCCUGGGCAACAGAGCGAGACCCUGUCUCUA